rnacentral:rRNA from 1 species
CCUACGGGUGGCAGCAGUCGAGAGGCUUCGGCAAUGGGGGAAACCCUGACCGAGCGACGCCGCGUGGGGGAUGAAGGCCCUUGGGUUGUAAACCCCUUUUGUUCGGGAAGAAGUGCGAUCAGGUGAACAAUCUGGUCGUUUGACGGUACCGGACGAAUAAGCUCCGGCUAACUCCGUGCCAGCAGCCGCGGUAACACGGGGGGAGCAAGCGUUGUUCGGAAUCACUGGGCGUAAAGGGCGUGUAGGCGGUCAGGUAAGUGAGAUGUGAAAUCCCUCGGCUCACCCGAGGACCGGCAUCUCAUACUGCUUGACUUGAGUACGGGAGAGGAUGUGGGAAUUCCUGGUGUAGCGGUGAAAUGCGUAGAUAUCAGGAGGAACACCGGUGGCGAAGGCGCACAUCUGGCCCGAUACUGACGCUGAGGCGCGAAAGCUAGGGGAGCAAACGGGAUUAGAUACCCUUGUAGUC